rnacentral:rRNA from 1 species
UAACACAUGCAAGUCGAACGGCAGCACAGUAAGAGCUUGCUCUUAUGGGUGGCGAGUGGCGGACGGGUGAGGAAUACAUCGGAAUCUACCUUUUCGUGGGGGAUAACGUAGGGAAACUUACGCUAAUACCGCAUACGACCUUCGGGUGAAAGCAGGGGACCUUCGGGCCUUGCGCGGAUAGAUGAGCCGAUGUCGGAUUAGCUAGUUGGCGGGGUAAAGGCCCACCAAGGCGACGAUCCGUAGCUGGUCUGAGAGGAUGAUCAGCCACACUGGAACUGAGACACGGUCCAGACUCCUACGGGAGGCAGCAGUGGGGAAUAUUGGACAAUGGGCGCAAGCCUGAUCCAGCCAUACCGCGUGGGUGAAGAAGGCCUUCGGGUUGUAAAGCCCUUUUGUUGGGAAAGAAAAGCAGUCGAUUAAUACUCGGUUGUUCUGACGGUACCCAAAGAAUAAGCACCGGCUAACUUCGUGCCAGCAGCCGCGGUAAUACGAAGGGUGCAA